GAUUUCGCGGCCGAGUAGGUAUCGUACCAGGCUUGUACACCGGGAGUUCCGGGUUCGAUUCCCGGCAGAAUCG
rnacentral:tRNA from 1 species